CAGGGAGACAACAAAAUGUUUAAUAUUAUUAUUUUGUCACCUUAGGUCGAUCGGUAUCUCACGUUCUUAAUUUAUUAAGAAUUUCAUUUCCUAAGUUUUUCUAGGUCACACCCAUUAUUUUUCCUGGGCCAUUAGCUCAGGUGGUUAGAGCGCACCCCUGAUAAGGGUGAGGUCCCUGGUUCAAGUCCAGGAUGGCCCAUAUCUCUAUGUUGGGGGUAUAGCUCAGUUGGUAGAGCGCCUGCUUUGCAAGCAGGAUGUCAGCGGUUCGAGUCCGCUUACCUCCACUGAUUACCACCUCUUCCAUAACCGAUAGAAAGGAAAUGUUUUGAGUUGUGAUCAAAUUCUGAAAGAAUCUAGCUUCCUAAUGAAAUCAUUAAGAUGCUGGACUCAUUGAAUUAAUUUCAUUGUUUUCAGAGAACCUUGACAACUGCAUAGAUUAUUUUUAAAGACAAUAAGCAUCUUUAAUGAUGCAGAUUUAUUAUUUGUGCGAAUGCAUUAAUAACAAUUCUAUUAAGCUGAUGCUUCAAUUUUUGAAGUUAUU
rnacentral:tRNA from 1 species